rnacentral:rRNA from 1 species
AGCGAACGCUGGCGGCAGGCCUAACACAUGCAAGUCGAACGAACUCUUCGGAGUUAGUGGCGGACGGGUGAGUAACACGUGGGAACGUGCCUUUUGGUUCGGAAUAACUCAGGGAAACUUGUGCUAAUACCGAAUGUGCCCUUCGGGGGAAAGAUUUAUCGCCAUUAGAGCGGCCCGCGUCUGAUUAGCUAGUUGGUGAGGUAACGGCUCACCAAGGCGACGAUCAGUAGCUGGUCUGGGAGGAUGACCAGCCACACUGGGACUGAGACGCGGCCCAGACUCCUACGGGAGGCAGCAGUGGGGAAUCUUGCGCAAUGGGCGAAAGCCUGACGCAGCCAUGCCGCGUGAAUGAUGAAGGUCUUAGGAUUGUAAAAUUCUUUCACCGGGGACGAUAAUGACGGUACCCGGAGAAGAAGCCCCGGCUAACUUCGUG